rnacentral:lncRNA from 1 species
AUGACCAAUGCUGGGAGAGAUUCUCUCUCUCUCUCUCUCUCUCUCUCUCUCUGUGUGUGUGUGUGUGUGUGUGUGUGUGUGUCCCACCGGCGAUGUCGGUAUGUCAGCGUGUGUGCCACCGGUCAUCUGUGUGUGGUGCGUGUGUCUCCGCACCACGACUCCCUCUCCUGGGUCUGCGCAGUCCACGGAAGCAGCUCCCCUUCAGCUGUUGCCAGAAAACCGGGGAGGAAAGGUUUAGAGAGUUUGGAGCCAAAGGACUGGGAUCUGAACCCCUCCUCUGACAUGGGACAACUCACUCCUCAGUUUUCAUCCAUAGAAUCAGAAUGACAGAAAACCCAGCCUGCUCUUCUCACAGGAUUGCAAGGAGAACCAAACCAGAAGAGUGCGGUAAAGUGUAAAGUGCUGUACAAAUGGGAAUGCUUGUCUUUAUACCUGAAACUUGGACUCUCAGUUUCUGGAUCUUUCUAUGAUGUUUAUUGAAUGGGUGAGAGAAAAUGAGGAGGGCCCCAGGGGGUACAAUUAAGCCCUUCAGGAAUAGCAGUUAGAGAAAUGCCAUUUUCCUCCCUAAAAACAAAAACAAACAAAUCUGUAGGUUUUUUUUUUUAAUGGUAAAAUACACAUAACAUAAAUUUGCUAUCUUACGCAUUGUUAGGUGUACAGUCCAGUAAUGUUAAGUACAUUCACACUGCUGUGCAACCCAUCUCCAGAACAUUUCCAUCUUGCCAGAAGGGAACUGUGUGCCAAUAGACAGCAACUCCCCAUUUUCCACUCACCUCAGACCCUGGCAACCAUCACUCUGCUUUCUGUGUCUAUGAAUUUGACUAAGUACCUCAAAUAACUGGAAUCAUGUAGGUUUGUCUUUUAGUGACUGGCUUAGCACUUAGCAUAAUGUCCUCAAAGUUCAUUCAUAUAGUUAGCCUGUGUCAGAAUUCCCUUCCUUUUUAACACUGAAUAAUAUUCCACUGUAUAUAUAUGCCACACUUUGUUUAUGCAUUCAUCUGUCCAUGAACAACUUGGGUGGCUUCCACUUUUCCGCUAUUGUGAAUGCUGCUGCUGUGAGUGUAGGUAUACAAAUAUCUUUUCAAGACCCUGCUUUCAAUUCUUUCGGGUUUGUACCCAGUAAUGCAAUUGCUGGAUCAUAUGGUAAUCACAUUUUAAUGUUUCAAGAAACCGCCAUACUGUUUUCCAUAAUGGCUGCACCAUUUCACAUUUCCACCAACAGUGUACGAGGAUUCUAACUUUUCCAUGUCCUUACCAACACUUGUUUGUUUUUUUUGACAGUAGCCAUCCCAAUGGGUGUGAGAUAGUCCUAAUUUUACUUUUUUAAUCACAAAAGUAAUACUAGCUCAUAGUAAAAAUAUUGAAUAGGUACAGAAAGGAAAAGAUACAAAACUCACCUGCUUGCUCCUUACUUCCUCUUACUUCUCAGAGACAGCCACAAUCAUAUUGAUGUCUAUCUAUAUCUACAGUAUACAUGCCAUUCCAUACUUUCACAUUUUCACUUAAUAAUCUAUCUUGGAUGUCUUUUUGUGUUAAUCCCUAUAGAUCGACCUCAUUCCUUUUCACAACCACAGAAUAUUCCACUGUAUAAAUGGACUAUAAUUUAAACAACUUCUCAACUUCCUAUUAGUAGACACUUAGUUGAUUUUCAGAACUUAAAAAAAAAAACCAAAAAACAAAAAAACCCAGCAAUGACAGACCAUGUAGCAGCAAUGAUGAGUGCAGCUCCUGAAGCCCAGCUGUUUCGGUUCAAACUCCAACUCUACUGCCUAACAGCUCUGGGAUGUUGGGCAAGUGAUUAACCCUCUCUGUGCUUCAGUUUUCUCAUCUCUAAAAUGGGGAUGAUUAUAACAACUACCUGUUAAGGUUAUUGCGAGGGUUAAAUGAAUCAACGUAUGUAAAGCUCCUGAAGCAUAAGGUGUGAUGUGCAUCAGCUAUUACUUGGCUUUAAUCAACCUCCUUGGACAUAUGUAUCUUUGUGCAUUUUUCUGAGUAUUUAUUUUAUUUUAUUUUUUUCUUCAACUUUUAUUUUAAGUUCAGGGGUACAAGUGCAGGAUUUGCAGGUUUUUUUACAUAGGUAAAUGUGUUCUGAGUAUUCAUUGUAGGACAAAUUGUUAGAAGUCAAAUUGCUGGGCCAAAGGGUGUAAUUUUUUUCUUUCCACAUAGACUUUUUUUUGUUGAACAAAAUGGUCAUUAUCAGGGAGGCUAAAAUUGUACAACCUGUGAUGUGACAAAUUUGAACAUAGCCAAAAAGUAGCAAAUUGUCCCCCAAGAGGGUUGCACCAACACACUAAGAUGGCCUUAAGGCCCCCAGGCUCUGUCACUUCAUGGACCUCAUCACUUUACUGCUGUUUCUGAAUCGAGUCUGUCUUCUCUUCCCUGAACAAUGGCGUUGGUCGUUACCCCUUUCAGCCCAAAGGGAAGAAAUUGGCAGGGAGGGAUAUGCCAAGCCAUCCCCUGGGGUCCUGCUGUGAUUGUGGGCCUGGGCCUGGCACUUCCUACUUUGUUGGUAAGACCUGCUCUGUGUGUGCCCCAAUUCUGUCGCUGUCCUUCCACAUGUACAUCCACAACCAUAGCGAGAAGCAUGGGCCCCCCACCCAGUACCUCUUCCUUCUCUUGAGCCUUAGUCUGAUGUCUCUGUGGCCCCAUAAUAGGACUGAACUAAAUAUAAUGAUGCAUUAAAGUCUAUCAAGCCACUCUGAAAGGAAUCUCAUUUUCUCAGGCCAUGUUGGUCUAGUGGUUCUCUCUAGAAAUAUAUCUUUAUUGUAUUUGUUGAUUCUAAAAGCAGUGCAUGCUCCUUGUAAAACAAAUCAAGCAACACAGAGGAAUGAAUCAAGGUCAAAGCAAAAGUUUCCCAAUAUCUCACGUCCCCAGAAAUAAUCACUGUUAGUAGUUUGUUAAAUACUCUCCUAGUCUUCUUAAAAAUAUGCAUAUUUUAGGCCGGGCGCGGUGGCUCAAGCCUGUAAUCCCAGCACUUUGGGAGGCCGAGACGGGUGGAUCACGAGGUCAGGAGAUCGAGACCAUCCUGGCUAACACGGUGAAACCCCGUCUCUACUAAAAAAUACAAAAAAACUAGCCGGGCGAGGUGGCGGGCGCCUGUAGUCCCAGCUACUCGGGAGGCUGAGGCAGGAGAAUGGCGUAAACCCGGGAGGCGGAGCUUGCAGUGAGCUGAGAUCCGGCCACUGCACUCCAGCCUGGGCGGCAGAGCGAGACUCCGUCUCAAAAAAAAAAAAAAAAAAAAAAAAUGCAUAUUUUAAAAAUGCAAUCAUAUUAUACACAUUCUAUAACCCUCUUUUUUCACUCAACAAUGGACAUCCUUCCAUGUCAAUAUGUUAAUCUAUUUUAUCUUUUUAAAUAGUUGCAUGAUAUCCUGGAAGUAUCUUUUUCUUGGCCUUGGUUUCCUAACUUUCAAAGUGUUCAUUCCCCUUUGAAGAGGUGUGUGGCAUGGUAGAAAAUGUACUUGGAGUUGGAAGACGGAUUCUUGACUAAACUUAUUGUGUGCCCUUGAGCAAGUAACUUGCUUUCUCUCUGUUAGAAAUGGAACAGGAUUAUGCAUGUAAGAGUACAAACCUACAUUAAAAUACACAGAGGCACCUGUAAUCCCAGCACUUUGGGAGGCCCAGGUGGGUGGAUCACUUGAGGCCAGGAGUUCAAGACCAACCUGGCCAACAUGGUGAAACCCCAUCUCUACUAAAAAUACAAAAAUUACCCGGGCAUGGUGGUGGGUGCCUGUAAUCCCAGCUACUCGGGAGGCUGAGGUAGGAGAAUCACUUGAACCCGGGAGGCGGAGGUUGCAGUGAGCCAAGAUGGCGCCACUACAUCCAGUCUGGGUGACAGAGUGAGACUCCAUCUCAAAAGACAAACAAACAAAACAAGAUGUAUUAUUCUCAUAACACCAAAAUUAAGUCUGGGUUCGAUGAGGACUUAACACAAGAUGGUCUAGUACUUGUAUGGUCAUCAUGGCUUUAGUGAUCAUCAGGGGAGAGCUACUUCUGUUUUUCCCAACACUAGAGCUGUCUGAACAUUAUGGGGAACCCAGAUCCAUGCUUGCUGGGUGUCGCACUAGAAGAAGAGCAGAACUUAUCUGCCUCACAACCUUGAUUCUCAAGGAAGAUUGCUGACUUGCCCAAGGUCAGAGUGGGUCCAGAAAGGCCACAGUCCUGGCUCAGGGCCCUCCCAGUUCCUGCAUGCAGCCUGUCCUAUAGAAAAGAGAGGAUAGAUCUGGCCAGAGCUGGGGCUGUGGGCAAAGAGGACUGGACGCUCUGUUGGCAACGUCAUCCAAGGCUCAAGGACCAGGUACCCUCCAGGAGGAGUUGGGGGAGGGCGGUGAUCCAGAGAUUUGGAACCUGGUGCUUUUCUGCCUCCAACUUUGGUCAAGUCACAGUGGGCUUUACAGUUCUUAUCUAUAAAAUGAAGGGGUUGGGAGGUAUGAUUUCUAAGAACUUUCAUUCAUUGGUUCAACCAAUAUUCAACCAACUGCCUGCCACUAGGUAGGCAUUGUUCAGCCCCUGAAGAUGAAAUAAUUUUUAAAAGUGAACAUUUACAUAGCAUUUACUAUGCCAGACACUGCC